AUGCAGUUGAGCCUGCUGAGCACCGGGGUAUCCACGGGAGUAGUCAUCAAUGCAGGAAGCCGCAACAAGUCUUCCUUGCCACCCUACCUUGUGGUGAUGUGCGUCGCGAUGGCGGAGGUGCUGCUCGGCCUGUUCAGCGGCGUGACCAUCUUCUCGGCGCUGGGCCACGAGUGCGCCCGCCUCAACAUGCACAUCGACGAAAUCGUCAGGCCCGGACUCAGCCUGUUCUUCCUGUCGUACACCGAGGCCAUCGCUGACCUGGACUACGCAUUCAUCUGCAGUGCCAUCAUGUUCACGGCACU